rnacentral:lncRNA from 1 species
AGGGAAACAUAUUUGCAGCUCGUCAUGCAGUCUGUGUGUUUUCUCCUCAGCCUGAGCUGCUGUCACAGCGUUACAUCACAAGAUGGCGCCGUGCAUUCAGGGCCUCUGUGAACACAAACCCAUGAAGAAGAAGAAGAUUCUGUAACCGUGGAACGUUGUUAGUCAGAGUUUGUGCCUGCAGAAGACGUAUGAACAGUUCAACCUGUGAAAACGAAAGCAGCUGAACGGACUUCCCCGCAGUGUCUGAGGUCAAAGGUCAUGUGAGGUCAGGAGGCGCCAUAUCAGCAGAUACACCAACAGCCUUCAGUAAACAGGAUUGAGGAGCUCCUGAGGAAAAUGUGGAUGUGGUGGGACACCACGCGACCACAUCCUUAGUCACAUCGCUUGAUGGUGACGCCUUCGCUGUGACAGCGCCAGCGUUGUUCCACCGCCUUCUCUCACAGACGUCAGUGCAGCAGCGACUCCGGCAGCUGAGAGAGCUUCAACUUCAACAAGGU